CUCUCUCCCUCAUACAUUGAAUGCAACACCAAACCCCAUGUCUCCUUCUCACUAAAAUUCUUGGAUCAUUAAUUGUGUUUUAUGUUAGAAUCACAUUAAAUUCAUCCUUAUCAUCAUCAAGUAAUCAUCAUCAUCUCAAAAUUUGGAAAAGUCAAAGUGCAAGAAAUUUUGGGUUAUAGCUAAAUUUCAGAUUUGGGGCUUCUGAAGGUUUUGGCCGUGAACUUUGAAGAAUUUCGGACAAUUAAAUUUCGUUGAACACUUAUAAUUUACGUAUAACUCGACGUUCAAGGCAAAGGUGAACAGGUUAACCAAAGACAUACUGGAUGAUGAUUGAUUGUU